AUGAAUUGUAUAAUAAAAACAAAAUCUUCAAAUGGCCUUGAAUUAGUAAUGAACCUGUCUUUUGUUUGCUGCUCUGGUUUGUUUGACUAAUCACUGUAGAUGAAAAAAAUGAGCAGUGUUUGCUUUUGCUGGUUUGUUUUGUUUCAUUGCUUUUUCUGGCCCUUGCGUAGAAGACAAAGCAAUUUUUAUGCCCAUCAGAAAUAACUUGAGUUACAGCAUUGAGCUCAAGAUUUUGAGCUAUUUCAUCUGAGAACCUAACUUUUAUAAAAUUUUACCUAGGUCUUUUUCUUAUAGACCAUUAAACCUUUAAUUAACUGUUCCAUCACCCUAAGCAAUUAUUAGUCAGGCAAACCUAAAUUUAUGUUUUCAAAAAGUAUUUAGGUUAUUGGUUGCCAUGGAGCUGUUGUAAUCUGCAAAGCAAUUAAUUUCAAAACCCUUUAAGAAUUUUAAAGAAAAUCUUGGCUGGAAUGCCAUAAGCAGUGAGUUUUCUCAACACCUGCAGAAGGCUCAACUGAUUCAAGGUAGGUAUAAAAACAGAUAGUGAGACAGAACACUUAGAAAGCUUUACGUGCUAACUCUAUAGUGGCAUGUCUUUCUUUUUUUUUUUAGAGAGUUCAAAUAAUGACAAUUUGAGCUCUCAGUUUUCCUUGACAUAAUUUUCUUAUCAGUUAAAAUCUCUUCCUGGUGUGCAUGGGUAGGGAAAUCAGAUGGCCAACAGGAGGCAUGACUAGAUUCCAGCUCUGGACAAAGCAGCUUGUGGAAGCUCGCAUUGUAAAUUUUAGCUCUAGAUCGACUACAAGAACAAACCAGCAAUUCUAAGAGGACCCAUAGAUCCUCUGAAGGAAGUGGACUGCUCCUACAGGACUUGGAGACACCCCAAAAACUGUUGCUUCCAAGUCUUGGCUGUCGUGGAUACUGCUGCAGAAAUCAUGGGAGUGCAAAUAUCUCUGGCAUACUGAUUUCCAGUCUUUUGGGUGAAUACCAAGCAAGUGGAAUACUGGAUCAUAAGGUAGUUCUAUUUUUAGUUUUUCAAGGAAUGUCCAAAUUGUUCUCCAGAGUUGUACCAACUUACAUUCCCAUCAACAGUAUAUGAGGGUUCCCUUUUUUCCAUGUCUUCGUCAGCAUUUAUUAUUGCCUGACUUUUGGAUAAAAGCCAUUUUAGCUGUAUUAAGAUGAUAUCUCAUUGUAGUUUUUAUUUGUAUUUCUGGGAUAACUAAUGAUGCUGAGCACCUUUUCAUAUCAUGUUUAUCAUGUUAUGUCUUCUUUUGAAAAAUGUCUAUUCAGAUCUUUCACCCAUUUGUUAAUUGGAUUAUUUGAUUUUUUUCCUUUAGAGUUAUUUUUCUCCUUACAUACUCUGUAAGGAGUACUCCUUACAUCCCCAUCACAGAUGGGUGGUUCGCAAAUAUUUUCUCCCACUCUAUAGAUUGUCUCUUCACUUGGUUGACUGUUUAUUUUGCUGUGCAGAAGCUUUUUAACUUGAUGUGAUUCUAUUUGUUCAUUUUUUGCUUUGGUUGCCUGUAUUUACUGGGUAUUACUCAAAAGACCUUUGUCUAGUCCAAUGUCCUAAAGAGUUUCCCCAAUGGUUUAUUUUAGUAGUUUUAUAUUUGAUGUAUUAGAUUUAAGUCUUUAAAACAUUUUUACUUGAUUUUUGUAUAUGGUAAGAGGUAUGGGUCUAGUUCCAUUCUUCUACAUAUGGAUAUUGGAUUUCCAUAGCACUAUUUAAUUCUGUCAUAUGUGGCUUUUAUGGUAUUGAGGUAUGUUCCUUCUAUAUCCAGUUCUUUUGAGGGUUUUUAUUAUAAAAUGGUGUUGAAUUUUAUCAAAUACUUUUUAGCAUCAGUUGAAAUGAUCAUACAGUUUUUGUCCUUCAUGCUGUUGAUAUGAUGUAUAAUAUUGAUUGAUUUGCGUAUGUUGAACCAUGCUUGCAUCCCUAGGACAAAUUUCUCUUAGUCAUGAUAAAUGAUCUUUUUAAAGUGUUAUUGAAUUCAGUUUGGUAUUU
rnacentral:lncRNA from 1 species